GUCUCUAUGGCUCAGUCGGUAGAGCGUUGGUCUCAUAUUACCAUAUGACCCUACCAUUAGGUCGGGAUAUCCAAAGGUCGCAAGUUCGAGCCUUGCUAGGGACA
rnacentral:tRNA from 1 species